GUGAUUAGCCAGGAUCAAGGGUCAACUUCUUCACUGACCAUUUACUCUCAGGUGAUGUAUCUGUCCUCCAUGAGUCACCAGAGACACAUAAGGUGUUGUAAGUGAAAUUUCAUCUAUUAGAUUUAUUCAAAAUGUGAAUUAACACAGUUGUUUCCUGCAGGAUUUGAUAUCAAAGCUGGUGCAGGAAAAGGAAGCAGAUCAUGACCUUCAGCAGCUCGAGAAGAUAAGCAGCGUCCUUAAGAGUCCAGUUGCUAUCUUUAGCAGUGUUGGAACCAGUGAGUCUGAGACACCCACCAGCAGUGGAAAGCUGGCUGACGAGCGCCUCAAGCACUCUGAAAAGGUGGAGCAACAACAAGAAACAGAAAAUUGCAUCCAUCAUUCUUUGCCUGAGGAGGGAAUUGAUGCUCUGUUGACCCUUCACACUGAUGUCCCUCAUGAGGAGGCAGAAUAUGAAUCCUACAGAACUUGCCCAUAGAAAGACCAAAACUGUUACUGCUGCCACACUGCCACCACUUCCACUGACACCAAAAGCCCAACUGUGCAGAGAAUCCUGGACCUCCGCAAUGAAAUGGAGUCCACCAGUCACCUGGAGCACUUUAGCCUCCAAAA